rnacentral:rRNA from 1 species
UACAGAGGUCCCGAGCGUUGUUCGGAUUCAUUGGGCGUAAAGGGUGCGUAGGCGGCGGGCAAGUCUGAUGUGAAAUCCCGGGGCUCAACCCCGGAACUGCAUUGGAUACUGCCUUGCUCGAGUACUGGAGAGGGAACUGGAAUUAACGGUGUAGCAGUGAAAUGCGUAGAGAUCGAUAAGGAAGGCCAGUGGCGAAGGCGAGUUCCUGGACAAGUUACUGACGCUGAGGCACGAAGGCCAGGGGAGCGAAACGGG